rnacentral:tRNA from 1 species
GGUUUGUGGCUCAGUGGUAGAGCGCUUGCCUAGCAUGCGUGAGACACUGGGUUGGAUCCCGGGAACCA